UACUGAGGAAACUGUAUUUCCUGUCAGAGAUGCUCAGUGAUCCUCAGAGCAGAGAGAGGUAUUGCUGUCUUCUGAGUUCUUCAGUGUCCCAACUGAGACAUUCAAACCUCAUUGCAGAGCUCAUGUCUUUCCUCACCAUCAUGUGAGUGUGAGAUUGCUCUGGAUUCUGGUUAUGUGGCCUGCAGCACCUAUAAGAACAAGCUCGUCCAGUGUGCCUGCAUUCCAGCUUCUUAGACUCUACUCAAGUGGACAGAGUAUCAGUGUUUGGCCACUCUUACAGACACCGACUUCUGUCAACUCACUGCUACUGAUCAGGCACCUGACUCCAGGAAGACAGAGGGCUGCAAGCCUGUCAUCGUUUCCAGUGUGGCUUUGUAUUCUUGGGGUAGCAUCAGAUUUUUCCCACAAAUAUUCAAAGGUAACACUUAUUUUAAGCGUAGUUAUUAAGUCAAAAGUCUUCCCUUGUGUUAAUUUUAUUUUUUUUAUUUGUUUUUGUUUUCUUUUAGAUUUAUGUGCAGUGAUCGGAUGUGGUGGAGCUUUGUUAACUGUGUGGAAAACAUCUGUUUGUGAUGAUAUUUACAAUGAGGCUUUAAGGUGACAGUUUCCAUGUAAUUUCAAUCCUUUUACUAAGCAAAAACAUGUUUGCAAUUAACAUAU